GCCUGGGUGGCUCAGUGGUUGAGUACCUGACUUUGGCCCAGGGCGUAACCUCAGGUCCUGGGAUCAAGUCCCACAUCGGGCU
rnacentral:tRNA from 1 species